UACGUAGGUGGCAAGCGUUGUCCGGAUUUAUUGGGUUUAAAGGGUGCGUAGGUGGUCUAUUAAGUCAGUGCUGAAAUAUCCCGGCUUAACCGGGAGGGUGGCAUUGAUACUGAUGGACUUGAGUAAAGUUGAGGUAGGCGGAAUUGACGGUGUAGCGGUGAAAUGCUUAGAUAUGACAUAGAACACCAAUUGCGAAGGCAGCUCACUACGGAUUUAUUGACACUGAGGCACGAAAGCGUGGGGAUCAAACAGG
rnacentral:rRNA from 1 species